GACGAACGCUGGCGGCGUGCCUAAUACAUGCAAGUCGAGCGGAUGGAAGGAAGCUUGCUUCCUAAAGUCAGCGGCGGACGGGUGAGUAACACGUGGGCAACCUGCCCCUAAGAUCGGGAUAACUUCGGGAAACCGGAGCUAAUACCGGAUAUGAUUAUGUCUCACAUGAGACAUAAUGGAAAGACGGUUUCGGCUGUCACUUAGGGAUGGGCCCGCGGCGCAGUAGCGAGUUGGUGAGGUAACGGCUCACCAAGGCGACGAUGCGUAGCCGACCUGGGAGGGUGAUCGGCCACACUGGGACGGAGACACGGCCCAGACUCCUAGGGGAGGCAGCAGUAGAGAAUCUUCCGCAAUGGACGAAGGUCUGACGGAGAAACGCCGCGGGAGUGAAGAAGUUUUUCGGAUCGUAAAUCUCUGUUGUUAGGGAAGAACAAGUACCAUAGUAACUGAUGGUACCUUGACGGUCCCUAACCAGAAAGCCACGGCUAACUACGUGCCAGCCGCCGCGGUAA
rnacentral:rRNA from 1 species